GAAAUGCGAUAAGUAGUGUGAAUUGCAGAAGUCAGUGAAUCAUCGAAUCUUUGAACGCACAUUGCGCCCCUUGGUAUUCCAUGGGGCAUGCCUGUUCGAGCGUCAUCUACACCCUCAAGCUCUGCUUGGUGUUGGGCGUCUGUCCCGCCUCCGCGCGCGGACUCGCUCCAAAUCCAUUGGCAGCGUCCCUUGCCCCCUCUCGCGCAGCACAUUGCGCUUCUCGAGGGCGGCUCCGGGGCGCGACCCACCGAAGAUGACCACCGUCUUUGACCUCGGAUCAGGUAGGGAUACCCGCUGAACUUAA
rnacentral:misc_RNA from 1 species